GUAUAUACUUUACCUCCACU
rnacentral:miRNA from 1 species